UUUUGUUGGAGAGUUUGAUCCUGGCUCAGGACGAACGCUGGCGGCGUGCUUAACACAUGCAAGUCGAGCGGAAAGGCCCUUCGGGGUACUCGAGCGGCGAACGGGUGAGUAACA
rnacentral:rRNA from 1 species